rnacentral:lncRNA from 1 species
ACCCAUUGCCUGGCUGUCGCCUCCUGCCCCAGCUGGGAGAGCGUUUCUCACAUUAGGUAAGGGCCACCUGACUUGCCCUGACCUUUCUCUUCCUGAGGCAAGGACAACCCAGGAAGGAACUUUUGAACACACGGUCAGGGCUAGCGCCCUUCCUCUGGAGCCGAAGAAAUGGCGAUUCCACCAGUUUGGAACUUGAUCACUUGGGUCCCAGUUCUGGUUUUGGUCUGCGUGGUCUGCAUGUUUGAUCACUUUGAGCCUCAGUUUCCACAUCCAUCAACUCUGGAGAAUAACCCUUCUGAUGCUGGCACAGAAUAUUUGCCACAAUGUAGGAAAGCACUUAGCCUAACACCAGGAACAGAGUACAGACUCAGCAAAUAAUGACAACCAUGGUUAUUAUUUCAAUCCUUAAACAGUGAGAAUUAAAAAAGUAAUAGAUGUAUCAGAAAGUGGUAGAAAUACACCAUCAGGAGUUCCCGUCGUGGUGCAGCAGAAACAAAUCCAACUGGGAACCAUGAGGGUGCGGAUUCGAUCCCUGGCCUCACUUAGUGGAUUAAGGAUCCAGCGUUUCCAUGAGCUUUGGUGUAGGUUGCAGAUGCAGCUUGGAUCUGUUGCCGGCCUACACCACAGCUACAGUUAACGCCAGAUCUGAGCCAAAUCUUCCAUCUACACUACAGCUCAUGGCAUCGCUGGCUCCUUAGCCCACUGAGCAACACCAGGGAUGGAACUUGCAUCCUCAUGGAUACUGGUUGGGUUCUUAACCCAGUGAGCCACAUGGGAACUCCCUGAUUUAAAAAAAAAAAUUUUUUUUUCAUUUAUGCCUGCACCUGUGGCAUAUGGAAGUUCCCAGGCUGGGGACUGAAUCUGAGCUGUAGCUGGGACUGGAGCUGCUGCAGUAAGAUUCUUAACUCACUGAGCCACAGUGGGAACUCCUCUCCUGACUUUUGUAUCUCCAACUCUUCUGUCUGUGCCGUUGCCAGCUGGUAGAGUCUAUCUUUCAAAAUGUGUUCCCAUUGGAAGGGAAGCUGAGGACAUUGAGAAUAAAUAUUUCAAGUCUCCUAAGAUACAGGGCAGGACUCUUUUUUUUUUUUUUUUUUUGUCUUUUGUCUUUUGAGGGCUGCACCCGUGGCAUAUGGAGGUUCCCAGGCUAGGCGUCGGAGCUGCAGCCACUGGCAUGCACCACAGCCACAGCAAUGCCAGAUCCAAGCCAUGUCUGUGACCUACACUAUAGCUCACGGCAACGCUGGAAUCUCAAUCCACUGAUCGAGGCCAGGGAUUGAACCUGCAACCUCAUGGUUCCUAGUUGGAUUCUUUUCCCCUCUGCCACGAUGGGAACUCCAAUAUAGGACUGCUAAGAAAGUUUCUUCCUGCCUUCUUAAAAGAAGGAGGAAGAAGCAGAGAAGGAGGUAGAGAAGAUGAAACAAAUUACCAAAACUUAAAGAAAAUCUGUUUAUGUAUUUAUAUCUGUUGAGGUAUCAUUGAUGUACAAUAUUAUAUAAAUUUUAGGUGUUCGACAUAGUGAGUCACUGCUUUUAAGGGUUAUUUUCCACUUAUAGUUAUUGUAAAAUAUUGGCUGUAUUCCCUCUCUUGUGCAAUAUAUCCUCAUAGCUUAUUUACUUUAAAUCUUGCGGUUUGUACCUCUUAAUCAACACCUAUCCUGCUCCCCCACCCCCGCUGGUAACCACCGGUUUGUUCUUUAUAUCUGCGAGUCUGCUUCUUUUUUAUUAUAUUCACUAGUUUUUUUAAAGUAUUAUUUAUUUAUUUAUUUGUAUUUUUGCCAUUUCUUGGGCCGCUCCCUCGGCAUAUGGAGGUUCCCAGGCUAGGGGUCGAAUCGGAGCUGUAGCCACUGGCCUACACCACAGCCACAGCAACACAGGAUCUGGGCGUCGUCUGCAGCUUACACCACAGCUCAUGGCAACACUGGAUCCUUCACCCACUGAGCAAGGCCAGGGAUUGAACCUGAAACCUCAUGGUUCCUAGUCAGAUUUGUUAACCACUGAACCACGACGGGAACUCCAUAGUUUGUUUUAUUUUUUAGAUUCCACAUAUAAGUGAUACCACACAGUAUUUGUCUUUCUCUGCCUGACUUAUUUCACUUAACAUAAUACCCUCUAGGUUCAUCUGUGCUAUUGCCAAUGGCAGAAUUUCAUUAGUUUUCAUGGCUGAGUAGUACCCAACUCUGUGUGUGUGUGUGUGUGUCUGUGUAUGUGUGUGUGUGUGUGUGUGUGUGUGUGUGUGUGUGUGUAAAACACAUCUUCUUGAUCCAUUCAUCUGGUGGAAGGACAUGUAAGUUGCUUCCAUGUCUUGGCUAUUGUAAAUAAUGCUGCUACAAACAAUGGGUUGCAUGUAUCUUUCAGAAUUCGCGUUUUCAUUUUUUUCCGGGUAUAUACCCAGGAGUGGAAUUGCUGGAUCCUAUGGAAAUUCUAUUUCUAAUUUUUCGAAGGCCCUCCAUCCUGUUUUUCCAUGCUGGCUGCACCCAUUUACAUUCCCACCAAUUUUAAAGAUGGGCUUGAAACAAACCAGAAAGUAUAUUAAGAGAGGCAGCUCAUGAGAAGUCAAUUCCUAAGGCUCUGGGUCUCUAUCAUUCUCCCGUCCUUCUCUUUCAGUAUAAAGAAUGGGCUAAAAUCCAGAAUGGGAUAGAAAUGAGAUUAUUUUUAUCUGAUGGACAAUCUUAUCCUCUGAAUCAUAUCUUCUCUGUGCUUGUAAAGCGCCCUGUCCUGUUCUCUAGGCACCUCACGUCUGUAAAUGUUAUGAACAUACAUACGUAGGGAUACUGCUUGGCAGAAAAGCCUACGGAAGUCUGCAGUCCCCUGCAGUUUAUGGGGAGUUAGUUCUGGGAGGCCCUGAGCUGGCUGGCCUUACCAGCAAACUGCUCUGCAAUAGCUCUGCAGACCACCACUCUCCCAAAGCCAACAAGAGGAGACACUGGUAAAUACUACAGAAUGGAACCUUCCUCCAUUUCCCAACCUUUCUAGUGGACCAAAGUAUCAGUCAGUGUAAUGUUUGCUGGGACCAGUAAGUCUGAAGAUUCAUUUGUAAGGCUGGGGAAAUAAAACGUUUUUGAGAAAUUCAAUUGCCUGUGGUUGGUACUGUACCCCCCCACAUUCAUUUCAAACUAUUUAUUUUCUUUAAAAAAGUGUUUAUUAAACACUAGCUGUUUAUGAUACUAUGUUCGUUUCAGGUGUACAGCUUUAGAUUCUUUUCCAUUAUAGAUUGUUACGAGAUAUUGAAUAGAGUGCCCUGUGUUCUCCAGUAAACUCGUUGUUUAUGUAUUUUAAAUAUAACAGUGUGUAUCUAUUAAUCCCAUACUCCUAAUUUAUCCCUUCCCCUCCCCGUCCCACUCUGGGAACCGUAUGUUUGUUUUCUAGGUCUUUGAGUCUAUUUUAAUUUUGUACAUAGGUUGAAUGGCAUUCUUUUCAUUUCCAACUAUUGAAAUUGGAAAAACUGUCUGCUGUUUUAGGGUGCACUUAUUAUCUUGAAAAUAAAUCAUUUCGUUGUGGUGGUGCUUGUUGUUCCUGCUCCAGUUGGUAGGUUGGCUCUUGUAUCCACAGGGUUCUUCUGCCCUGGGCUUCUAGUCACAGCUAGGCUAUGGUUCUCCAGCCAGAUGAUGAAAUAGGAGUUUUUAAGGCAAAGACUGCAUGGGCGGUGUUACUAAAUAUAGUGCCUGUGUAUGUGCACGUGUGUGUUUCUCUCUCAAAAGUGCUUUGUAAAAAUUACAUAAAUACUGGUAUGGAAGUUGCGGUGUGACCUGAGAAAGGUCGAUUUGAAAGUAUUCAUUCCAUUGGUAAAUGCAUCUUCCCUGAAAAUUCAUCACUACAACUGCUGGUCCCAUUGAAAUCUCCUUAGGCUCUCCUUUCCUAAACCCUUAUUGGGAAAAGGACCCUCCCCCCUCGUGUGGCAAGUUGGGGGCUGUUUCUUUGAGUCUAACUCCCUAUUUCUUUCAUAGUUCAAACAGGGAAAUUCUAGUGUUUACUGGGCCAGGGGUCGGGGUGGGGGGAGAGGAGUGCCUACUUUCUAUCUGUUGCACCACCCUGGCUUAAGUGACAAAACAAAGGCAAGUCCUGGAAAGCCGGGACUCUUAAAGAAAAGGUGAAAUUAUGGUCUUCAUUUUAGGCAAAACCUUCAAAUCCUUUGAGUAACAUGUUGGGGUGUCAUUUAGAUCCUCCCACACACACUGCUGGGAAAAAUAGAAAGAUCUGUAGCCUGACUUAUGCCGGUGAUUGUAACUUCAGCUUAAAAUACAGUCUCCUCUGAUUCCUCCCUGAACUCAAGGAGAUAUACAUCUUUCCACCAAAUUGAGACAAGAAUCUAAUAUUUAUUGAAAACUUUUGAGCACAUUUGUUCAAAAAAGUGCUUCCAAUCACUCAUCAGAGGCCCAAUGAAGCCACGAAUAGCUUCCUCCCCAUUUUAAGUAUUUUUUGUUUUCUGGUUGCAUACUCAGUGUAUGGAAAUUCCCAGUCCAGGGACUGAAUCUGAGCCACAGCCGUGACCUACACCACAGCUGCAGCAACGUUGGAUCCUUUAACCCAUUGUACGGGGACUAGGGACCCAACAUAUGGCUCUGCAGAGACUUUAUUGCAACACAGCAGGAACCCCAGCUUCCUCCCCUUUUUUUUGCUUUUUGCUUUUUUAGGUUCAGCAUGUGGAAGUUCCCAGGCUAGGGGUCGAGUUGGAGCUGCAGCUGCCGGCCUAUACCACAGCCACAGCCACACCAGAUCUGAGCCUUAUCUGUGAUCUGCACCACAGCUCAUGGCAACGCCAGAUCAUUAACCCACUGAGCAAGGUCAGGGAUUGAACCCUCAUCCUCAUGGAUACCAGUCAGUUUCAUUUCUGCUGAGCCACAGUGGGAACUCCCCUCCUCAUUUUUAGUGGAGAAAUGAGUCAGAGAAGGCAAGUGACUUGCCCCAAAUGACCCAGUUAGGAAGUGGCAAAGCUGGUACUCAGAGUGGGUUUAUCUAACCAAACAGUUUUAAAAAGUGAACUUAGUUUGUGAAACAAACUUGUGGGUUGGUAUUAUCGUCUCCAAUUUCACCAAUCACUAGGCCCAAGGCCAAGUCAUACACAAGUCAUACAAGAAAGAUCAGCAUGAUGCAGAACAGAGAAGACGAUAAAGGUUCCUGGGAGCUUCCUCCACGCUGUGUGUCCAAGUGCAUCAUGGAUGCUGCUCCCGCCACCUCAUAAAGGAAUCCCCUUCUGGAAAGGGGCUCCUCUUUGAGGGAUGGUGCCUUUGCCUUGCUCUGAGGGCUCAGAAGGCUCGUUGGGUGUGCACCGAUGCAGAAACAUAUGGCGCCUCCUCUCUGCGUCUUAUCACUCAAAGAAGGUAUGAAAACUUGGCGACUGGAGGCCUUCUUUUCUGGAGUCACCAGAGUUCAGCUCCAAGAACCUGAAAGAAAAUGUUUGGCAUGGAGCUUGAAGGCUUCCAUCAGGGAUUCUUUGAGUCCCUCUUGGUGGCACAGCAGCCAGAUGCACCCAUUCAACACUGGGCCUAUGUGAGUGGCACUGAGCAUAAUGUCUUGGGCAAAGCAAUGCAGUCCCUCCGCCCUGCAAUAACCACCUGUCCUGGUGACAGCUUCUUCCAGCCAGUUCUUCAGUUGAGCGCAGAAUGGUGAGGGUCAAAUACAGGAUCUGUUCUUCUUGCCCGUGAAGACUAUUUUUUUGCCCCAUGCCUAUGGCAUGCAGAAGUUCCGGAGCCAGGGAUCGAACUUGUGCCAUAGCAGUGGCAGCAGUGACAACACUGGAUCCUUAACCUGCUGAACCAGCAGGGAAUCCAUGAGGUAAGGUCCUAGGAGCUCCUUGGUGGUCUAGCAGGUUGAGGGCCAGGCCUUGUGCUGCUGCUGCUCGGAUAAUGCUGUGGUUCUGGCCCUGGAACUUUG